rnacentral:tRNA from 7 species
GCGGGAAUAGCUCAGCUGGUAGAGCACGACCUUGCCAAGGUCGGGGUCGCGAGUUCGAAUCUCGUUUUCCGCUCCA